CGCGCAGGCGGGUUGACAAGUCAGAGGUGAAAUCCUACAGCUUAACUGUAGAACUGCCUUUGAGACUGUCAAUCUUGAGUACGGAAGAGAGAGAUGGAAUUCCAGGUGUAGUGGUGAAAUACGUAGAUAUCUGGAAGAACACCAGUGGCGAAGGCGAUCUCUUGGUCCAUUACUGACGCUGAGGCGCGAAAGCGUGGGGAGCAAACAGGAUUAGAUACCCUGGUAGUC
rnacentral:rRNA from 1 species